UACAGAGGGGGCAAGCGUUGUUCGGAAUUACUGGGCGUAAAGGGCGCGUAGGCGGCCUUCUAAGUCAGACGUGAAAUCCCUCGGCUCAACCGGGGAACUGCGUCUGAGACUGGAAGGCUUGAAUCCGGGAGAGGGAUGUGGAAUUCCAGGUGUAGCGGUGAAAUGCGUAGAUAUCUGGAGGAACACCGGUGGCGAAGGCGACAUCCUGGACCGGUAUUGACGCUGAGGCGCGAAAGCCAGGGGAGCAAACGGG
rnacentral:rRNA from 1 species